GGGGUUGGAAGUUCUAAGGGUUUGGUAGCCAGAUAGGUCAGUCCUAUGUGGAGAGACGACACGGGGAGACAGGAACACCGGGAGGGACGGGCAGGCAGGACAGGCAGGGAACAAGACGUACGGCAGGUGGCUGAAGUAGUGGGACCUGCCAUCUUUGGUGGGGGUCUGCUGGGUGCAUUUGCUGCCUUUGCAUCUGUAAUUGUGAUCAGUCUACUGAGGAAUUCCUAGUGAGAUGAAGCCCAACAGUGAAGGUGGAGGUCAGCUUAAGCACAGACCUGCACAAAGUGUGCCCCCACCCAGCGUGAAUGACAUCAUGCUUCCUUACUGCUAACUGCUGAAGUACUUACUAGUUAAAUCUGUAAAUGUGGGUAACUCUCACAACCUUAUCAGAUGGUCUUCAUAUUGAUUUUGAUAUUCAUAUUACUUGUAAUGUAAGAAGAGAUCUGCAUUCUGAUCAUUUGGUAUAAUGAUGACAAUGAUUUUGAGUGGAAAUUAAAACCCUGAUAAUUGACUUUGUGUGACCUGACUAAUGCUUUUUCAUCCUCUGGGUGUCUUAUUGCUUAAAUCAGUAAAAUAAAGUAACUGCAGUAA